UACGGAGGUUGCAACCGUUGCUCGGAAUCAUUGGGCGUAAAGCGCCCGUAGGCGGCCUGUUAAGUUGGGUGUGAAAGCCCUCGGCUCAACCGAGGAAGUGCACUCAAAACUGGCAAGCUUGAGUAUGGAAGAGGGUCGCGGAAUUCCCGGUGUAGAGGUGAAAUUCGUAGAUAUCGGGAGGAACACCAGUGGCGAAGGCGGCGACCUGGGCCAAUACUGACGCUGAGGUGCGAAAGCGUGGGGAGCAAACAGG
rnacentral:rRNA from 1 species